AGGCUGAAGAUCUGGUGGCAAACUUUUUCCCAAAGAAGCUGUUAGAACUUGAUGGCUUCCUUAAGGAGCCCAUCCUGAAUAUUCAUGAUCUCACUCAAAUCCACUCGGACAUGAACCUCCCAGUGCCUGACCCCAUCCUUCUCACGAACAGCCACGAUGGACUAGAUGGGCCAAAUAUGAAAAAGAGGAAGCUGGAAGACCGUGAAGAGACCUUUCAGGGUAAGAGUGCCCCGGUGUGUGUG